GAUGAACGCUGGCGGCGUGCCUAAUACAUGCAAGUCGAGCGAACAGACGAGGAGCUUGCUCCUCUGACGUUAGCCGCGGACGGGUGAGUAACACGUGGAUAACCUACCUAUAUGACUGGUAUAACUUCGGGAAACCGGCGCUAAUACCGGAUAAUAUAUUGAACCGCAUGGUUCGAUAGUGAAAGACGGUUUUGCUGUCACUUAUCGAUGGAUCCGCGCCGCAUUAGCUAGUUGGUAAGGUAACGGCUUACCAAGGCAACGAUGCGUAGCCGACCUGAGAGGGUGAUCGGCCACACUGGAACUGAGACACGGUCCAGACUCCUACGGGAGGCAGCAGUAGGGAAUCUUCCGCAAUGGGCGAAAGCCUGACGGAGCAACGCCGCGUGAGUGAUGAAGGUCUUCGGAUCGUAAAACUCUGUUAUUAGGGAAGAACAAAUGUGUAAGUAACUAUGCACGUCUUGACGGUACCUAAUCAGAAAGCCACGGCUAACUACGUG
rnacentral:rRNA from 1 species